rnacentral:rRNA from 1 species
UACAGAGGAGGCAAGCGUUAUCCGGAAUUAUUGGGCGUAAAGCGUCCGUAGGUGGUUUGACAAGUCUGGGGUUAAAGCCCGGAGCCCAACUCCGGAUCGACCCUGGAAACUGUCAGACUUGAGUAAGGUAGGGGUUGCGGGAAUUCCCGGUGUAGCGGUGGAAUGCGUAGAUAUCGGGAAGAACACCAGCGGCGAAAGCGCGCAACUGGGCCAUUACUGACACUGAGGGACGAAAGCUAGGGGAGCGAAUGGG